CUACUACUUUCAGAUUCUUCAGUUCAAUUUAUUUUACAUUUCUUCAUUUUCAACAAUGCUUUGCGCUUUUCAUUCAGCCGUCAGCAUUCACACGGGUUUUCGGCAGGAAAUGCAAUUCCUAGUUUUCUUUGUAUUUGUACCAUGUUGGUCAUUUUAAUGUCGAUUUUAAGUGCUCUUACACACUUGAUUACAUGGCUACUUUAUUCCGGUCACCAAUUUAUGCAUUGCACAGUCUCGCUGUUCGUGCAAUACAAUGUCAUGUUGUGUUGUUCAUUUUCGAGCUGGUUUGCUAAAGCGGCUAAUGUAGCUAAUAAUAAACAACGACUAGCCAAUGAAAUGACACAAUCACAAAGACGAACGGGAACGCUAUAAGUGUUACGAGACAGGAAAUGACAAGUGCAACCCGGAAGGCUGGUGUCCGAGGCAUCUGGAUUUCACCAAUAGAUGUAGACCGGGGAUAGAAUAAAGUGCAACAGUGUGGUUCCGAAAGUAAACAUCCCAUUCAUUUUCUCCUUAGGGGUUUUGAUUAAAAGCCAUAAUGUCGUAACAAUUCAAAGUAUACUUAGCAUGCAUUGUUAUAUUGUGAAACUAUGGUAUAUGCUCCCCUAGAAGUUAAGUUAAACAGUUUAACAUCUAGUUUUUAGCAAAUCAUGUUUUAUCCGCGAUGCAUUUGAAACCACUACACUACCCAUAAAAAGUGUAACACACAGCGUCUUUGAUUUGUUGAGUUGUUUUAGGAAAUGAGCUAUACAUGUUGAAAAAUAUGUUGAUAUAGAAUAUAAAACUAAAAGCAAAAUAUGUGAUACAGCACUAGCUGUGCUUUUAUGUAAUUCUGGUAGUAUAAAAGCUAGGAAUAAAUAAUGUUGAAUGAAUAUGUAAUUGGAGUACGAGACUGAAUUCACAUGUAUUAAAAACAAGUAACGUUAUUACGCUGUGAUUGCAGUCAGUAACAAAGGAUUGUACCAUGUCCAACGCUGUAAACUAAAUUAAACCCUAUACAUAAACAUACACACACACAACAUUUAUGACACAACUUGUAUUAAUAAUAUAAACAAAAUAAUAAUGACAAAGGUUAUAAGAUGCAAGAAACACGCUAAACUGUUGUAAACAUUGUGAAAAAGUUUGCAAUGGUUUAUGGGAUGAGUAGUUCCUUCACUCAAAAAAUGAUCUACCUUUUGCCUUUUCUUCCAUUAUCCAAAUUAAUUUAUUACCCCAAAUCAAAUAUUUUAUGAUCACGACUAUCCCGACGGAUGAUUGGCUUGUUUCCAGGCUAAGAACUCUUUUUAUAACGAUUUUACGUAAAUUAAAUGGAGAAUAUGAAUGAGAAAUCUAUUCCAGACCCAGAGCUGUUCAUAAAGGGGGCGGUCACUGUGGCGCUCUAUACACACAAAUAAACACUUUGAGGUGCAUUUGGCCGGUCUUGUGUGUAGUAAUGUCUCUUGCUUUAUGACUGUGCCCCUGUGUAUUUUCCAUUGGAGAUGGUCCAUAGUAGGGUUGCCGCGGUGUACGGUAUUACCGGUGUUGAGGCCAACACCGAUUACUCGGUGUUGCACACCGGCAACACAGUUGUUCUUUUUUUGUAAUAAUUAAAUUCAAUAAUUCAUUCAGUCAAAAUUAAUAAUAUAAUUAUAAUUAAGAAAAUAAAAAUGCGUAAAAUAGGCCACAUUUCUGCUCUGCGCGGUAGAGAAUCGGCGCGCCGAGAAUUCGCGCGCUUCCUGACGCUGUCGCCGAGUGUGAGUUGACGGGAAGAUUAUGGCGGUUGACCUUGUUUUUGAAGUUUAAGGCAAAGGCGCCUAUUUGGAAACAUUUUGGAUUCAAACCAAACGCAAAUCGGGAACCGGAGAACCCAAAUGAGGCAAUAUGCAGACUCUGCAACAAGAAGGUGGCAGCAGCUGGAGGUAACACUUCAAAUUUACACACACACCUAAAACUGCACCACAGGAGCGAUGCUGCGAAAAUGGAGCUUGCAGCAGUGGGGCCUCCACCGGAGAGUUCGGGCACACAGCGGCCGACACAGCCAUCAAUUUGUGGAGCGUUUGCCAAAUGUACAAAGUACAAGAAGGACAGUGUGAGGUGGAGUGCAUGUACCGAUGCAGUCACAAAAUAUAUGUGCAAGGAGAUGGUGUCCUUCAACACGGUGGAAAAAAAGUCCUUCAAGGAGCUUUUGGCGACACUUGACAGCCAGUACGAUGUUCCAGGGCGGACAUAUUUUUCAUCCACAGCUAUCCCGUGCGCUUACAACAGUGUCAGGAGUGAGCUGCAACGUACCCUCACAACAGACUUGUGGUCGAGCGCAACGAUGGCACCAUAUAUGUCACUGACAGUGCAUUUUAUUGACCAGGAUUGGAAGCUGGUGUCAAAAUGCCUCCAGACAAGCUUUUUGCCAGAGGACCACACCGCCGUUAAUUUAGCUGAUGCCCUGCAGGACGCUCUGCGGGAGUGGGAAUUGAGCGCGGAUAAAGUCUCCUGUCUCACCACCAACAGUGGAGCCAACAUAAAAGCAGCUGUUCGGAACCUAGGGUGGCCCUGGUUGAGCUGCUUCGGGCACAACCUAAACCUUGCUGUGUCAAAUACCUUGGAAAAAACUGAGAAAGUGCGAACAGACCUUGCCCUUGCAGUCUGUCGUACAAUCAACGGGAUGUUUUCUCACAGCUGGAGGAGGAGACGGGAGCUGCAGAAAGCCCAGGUCGAGCUUGGCCUCCCACAGCACUCGCUGGUGACGGAUUGUGCAACACGCUGGGGGUCCAAGCAAAAAAUGAUCAAUAGAAUGUUGGAGCAGAAGCAGGCUAUCAACAGAGUGCUUGCAGAGGAUCGGAAAACCAAUGUCAACAUCACAUGGCAAGAUGAAGAUGUGCUGCUGGCAAUGAAUGAAGCGCUGAAGCCAGUGAGCGACUUCACCGACAUUCUCUCCGGGGAGAAUUAUGUGACCGCAUCGUCUCUACUCCCUGUGCUGCAUUUGGUGAAACAGGGAACGUUAGCCCCUAUGGUUGAAGACACCAAAUUAACUGCAGACCUGAAAGCUGGCAUCCUCCAUGUUCUGGAAGAAAAAUAUAAAGCCCUGCCGCAGGCAAGCUUGGAGCUCAUGCGCAAAGCAACAUUCCUUGACCCGCGGUACCGGGGUGAAUAUGACUCGAAUGCUAACGAGUUAAAAAGAAUGAUUGAGGAAGAAGCAGUCAUCCUCGGGCAAGCAGCGCAGCCAGUGAGAGCGGAAAAUGAAGAAGAGGGAGCCGCGGCCGAGCCCCAGCCCAAGAAAAUUACUUUGGCAAGUUUGCUAAAGAGGAAAACAGGCGCACCUACCUCAGCCCCACUAACGCUCCCCGAAAAAGCAGCCCUACAGAUUGCCAGCUACUGUCAAGAGGCUUGCAUCGAUGCUGAGGAAGAUCCUCUUUGCUGGUGGAAAUUGAACCAAACAAGGCAUCCCCUUCUGGCAAAGGUCGCCAGAAAUUACCUCUGCGUGUGUGCUACAAGCUGCGCAUCCGAGCGGGUGUUUAGCACGGCAGGGAACAUUGUCACCCCCACAAUAUCGCUUCUCAAACCAGAGAAGAUGAACAUGUUGGUUUUCCUGGCAAAGAACAUGUAGCCUGGACUGGUCACACUUGUAAAUAGUUCGAGUUUGUUAUUAAGCAGAAUUGUGUUUCUUCUUUUUGUUCCAUAUGCCUUGUGUUUGCUUAUUUAAUUGUAGCCAAUUCGUUUCUUAUUAAUUUUGUUACAUUGUGUUUGAUUAUUUGACCUUGUUUUACUCUGUGUAUUAAAAAUAUAAUAUGUAAAUUGUUGUGGCAAUUGGGCUUGCAGCCCGCGGCACAAGACGAGCAUGCAAGUCGCCGUCAUCUUUAGGCCUAUUUGAUUAAAAAAAAAGUUCUUUGCACUGUUAUACUGUUUUAGUGUUUAUUGUUUGCUCUAAUAGAUAGGAUACCUAAUAAACCUUUGGAACGCACAAGACCGGUAACCAUAGCAACGCCGGUAAACAAACCCCGCAAAGCCCAAUCCCUGCGUGAGCUCCCCGCGCUACGGCCACCCGGAGGCGCGCAGAGCUUUUGGCCGUGAUAUUAUGAUAUAUAAAAUUAUAUUAUACUAUUACUAUUAUAUAUAGAAGAACGUUAUAAGACGCCGAGAAUUGGCGCGCUGCCAGCCGCUGUCACCGAGUGUGAGAGGAGAGUUGACGGAGAAGAUGGCGGUUGACCUAGUUUCAAAGUUAAUACCGUUUAUACCGGUAAUACCGGUGUUGACCCGAGCGUAUUACUCGGUGUGAAAAUGUCCACACCGCGGCAACCCUAGUCCAUAGCUAUGUAUACUUUAUAGGUGUGUGUGAAAUGCCUGUGUUCCUCCAAUUACAUGAAGACUCAUAUGCACACACAAGUCUAGGUUCUGUUUUUCUCACUCUGUCCUUCUCGAAAAUGUGCUUUGUGGAAUAACCUAUGAGGGCACAUUAUGAAAACAGUAGAUGUUAUGUAGCGGCCUCUCGGUCUGUCCUGCCAGCUCCACGAGACAACGAUGCAUAUCUGGAACUCUGGAGCUCACAUCUUGUUGUAAACACUACAGACAACACUAUGUAUUUUUUCUUUUUCAAGAUAUGUUUUCAAAGAUUUUUUUUGCAUUUUUAGUCUUUAUGAUAGAGUCAGACAGACAGGAAGGUAUGGGAGAUAGAGGGGAGGACCUGCAGCAAAGGACCACAGGCAGGAAUCGAACCCGGCUCGCUGUGAUCUGGACUAAGCCUUAAUGGUGUGCGCUCUACCCGAAAGCCUUUCAGACAACGCUUCGGCCUUCAGCAGCCGAGCUAAACAGCUGCACAGGAGGAUGUGGUGGAGAGACAUGAAGAUGAAGAUCAUAAUUUCCCUGGUUGUAUUUGCCGUCCUGCUGAUUAUAAUUGUUCCGGUCAUCCUCCGGUAUCACUAGUGUCUGACGACAAGGAUGAGAACCAUCUCUCAUCCUCCCAACUAUCCCUUCUCAUGUGGUCCUCCACGCCAGCUAGAGGGUACCAGCUGACCUCCUACAACAUCCCAACUCCACCCCAAAUCUUUGUCUGUUCCCCACCCCCCUUUCCCCCAAAGCUUUUGCCUAAACUGUCCCACACCGAUGCCUGCAUUGUUCGCAUUUCUAAAGAAAACAACUCAGUUAUCAGUUGUGUAGGAUAGGUGUUUUCAGUUAUGUAUGGAGGACGAAAAUUUAUUUGAUUGGGGCACAGGCGGGAGUUAGUAGGUCGUCAUCUCAUGCCCUCUGGUCCACGCAAAGAGGAAGCCAUUUUAUCUCAUGCGGAUGCAUGAGAUAAAAAGGCCUUAUCAAGCCUUAUCAAGAAACACACACUCUGGAGCCUGCAAAUCACCUUCACUAAUGUUGUCACUGCACAGAGUCCCCCUGCUCUCCUAGUUUAACCGUAUUGUUCUGCAAAGCCCUCCAUAAAUGAAAACCACAGAGGCACUGCAACUUCAUAACAUUUUAUUCAAUGUUUACACACAAUUCCCUAGUGUUAUAGCUGUUUAAGCCUCCGGUUCAACGCACUGUGGAUGAGAAUGUUAAUAUGGGAAGGACUUGGGAAGGAAAGGAACCAGAGGAAAUUCCUGUCUCAUGUCUACGCUGUUUAUCCGUUCAAUAGUAAAAAUGUGGACUUGAAGUAUAGCUUCCUAGUCCCUGGUUUGAUUGUUAAUCGUCAUAGCUGGUUUCAUGCCAAAAUACAUCCCAUAGUAUGAGCGUUGUCUGUAUUUUUAUUUAUUAUUUAUCUUUAUUUGAGCACCCUAAACCUCUGAACCCUAGACCCACUGCGACCCAGGUCGCAGUGGGUCUAGGGUACGACCCAGGGUCGUACUAAAAACCCCUGUCCUGGGAUCCUGCUGGCUCCUUGAGACGCCGCUCUUGAUCUUUCCACAUGGUUCUGUUUGAGCGGAUGUUAUAUUACUGUUGUAGUUUUGAUUCAUUGUUCGUAGUGUUAUUUUUAAUUUUUUUUGCACUCGGUAUUUCAUUUUUGCUGGCAGAAUAUUGCCACUGCUCAGUAGGAAUGUCUCGUAUCGCCAUUGCGACGAAUGGCAGUGUUUGUAUUGGUGCCCUGCCACAGAGAGCAUUGGACGGAGGUUUAGAAUUGCAGAUUUGAACAUCUUUCUAACGAGCAGCAACCAUACACAGUCAUUCCUUUUAAAAUAUUUGUGUUCUCGUUUACUUCUAAUUUAUUUAAAGUGUAAAUACCUAUUUAAUUUUAACAAUGUACAAUUUUCUGGCACUGCAAUGGAAGACUGUGAUUUAUUGUUCUGUUUUGCUCUGAAAUAAAAAUCAAUAUAAAGGGCA